UAGAGUUUGAUCCUGGCUCAGAUUGAACGCUGGCGGCAUGCCUUACACAUGCAAGUCGGACGGCAGCGCGGGAGCAAUCCUGGCGGCGAGUGGCGAACGGGUGAGUAAUACAUCGGAACAUGUCAGUAGUGGGGGAUAGCCCGGCGAAAGCCGGAUUAAUACCGCAUACGAUCUAUGGAUGAAAGCGGGGGAUCGCAAGACCUCGCGCUAUUGGGGUGGCCGAUGGCGGAUUAGCUAGUUGGUGGGGUAAAGGCCUACCAAGGCGACGAUCCGUAGCUGGUCUGAGAGGACGACCAGCCACACUGGGACUGAGACACGGCCCAGACUCCUACGGGAGGCAGCAGUGGGGAAUUUUGGACAAUGGGGGCGACCCUGAUCCAGCAAUGCCGCGUGUGUGAAGAAGGCCUUCGGGUUGUAAAGCACUUUUGUCCGGGAAGAAAUCCCCUGCCCUAAUACGGCGGGGGGAUGACGGUACCGGAAGAAUAAGCACCGGCUAACUAUGUGCCAGCAGCCGCGGUAA
rnacentral:rRNA from 1 species